rnacentral:lncRNA from 15 species
AUGAUGUUUGGGACCAGGAAGCAGAGCUGCUGUCUUACACACUUCUCUGCUCUUUCUUUAGAACAGUCACCCACCCAAAACCCCAUAGAGACUGUGUCUGUCCCCCGACCACCUAAAUUAUUUAAAGAAAUACAAACAAGAGGAGUUCAACAUAAAAAUCUAAUAAAAAUUAAAACUAACUCCUCAGUAGCACAAAAUAAGAGAAUGAAAUGUGGGCUGUUAAAUAUCAGGUCUCUGUCCUCUAAAGCUGUUUUAGUGAAUGAAUUAAUAUCAGAUUAUGAUAUUGAUUUACUUUGUCUUACUGAGACCUGGUUGUCCCACGAGGAGUAUGUUAGCCUAAAUGAAUCCACCCCCCCCAGUCAUAUUAAUACUCACAUUCCUCGAGGCACAGGCCGAGGAGGUGGAGUAGCAGCCAUAUAUGAUUCGAGCGUUUUAAUGGACCCUAAACCUAAACUAAAUUAUAAUUCAUUUGAAAGCCUUGUUCACAGUCUUUCUCACCCAAACUGGAAAACACUGCAGCCAGUUCUAUUUGUUAUAGUGUACCGCGCUCCUGGACCGUACUCUGAUUUUAUAUCUGAAUUCUCUGAGUUUUUAUCAAGUUUAGUCCUUAAAUCAGAUAAAGUAAUUAUUGUAGGUGAUUUUAAUAUUCAUGUGGAUGUUAACAAUGACAGCCUUAGUAACGCAUUUAUAUCAUUAAUAGACUCAAUUGGCUUCUGUCAGAGUGUAAAUAAACCAACUCAUUGUUUUAAUCACACUCUUGACCUUGUUCUAUCAUAUGGCAUUGAUAUUGAACAUUUAAUAGUCUUCCCACAUAAUCCUUUCCUAUCUGACCAUUAUUUAAUAACUUUUGAAUUCAUGCUAUUGGAUUAUAAGCCAUUAGGCAAAACUUCCUACAGCAGAUGUCUAUCUGACAGUGCUGUAGCUAAAUUUAAGGAGGAGAUUCCUUCAGUGUUUAAUUCAAUGCCAUGUCUGAAUUUAACAGAGUCCUAUAACGACUUUAGUCCCUCUGAAAUUGAUAAUCUUGUUGAUAGUGCUGCAGGCUCACUACGAUCAACAUUAGACUCUAUCGCUCCUAUAAAAAGGAAAUUAUUAAACAUAGGAGACUAG